rnacentral:rRNA from 1 species
GAUGAACGCUGGCGGCGUGCCUAAUACAUGCAAGUCGAGCGAACAGACGAGGAGCUUGCUCCUCUGACGUUAGCGGCGGACGGGUGAGUAACACGUGGAUAACCUACCUAUAAGACUGGGAUAACUUCGGGAAACCGGAGCUAAUACCGGAUAAUAUAUUGAACCGCAUGGUUCAAUAGUGAAAGACGGUUUUGCUGUCACUUAUAGAUGGAUCCGCGCCGCAUUAGCUAGUUGGUAAGGUAACGGCUUACCAAGGCAACGAUGCGUAGCCGACGUGGGAGGGGGAUCGGCCACACGGGAACGUGGACACGGUCCAGACUCCUGCGGGAGGCAACAGUAGGGAAUCGUCCGCAAUGGGCGAAAGCCUGACGGAGCAACGCGGCGUGAGUGAUGAAGGUCUUCGGAUCGUAAAACUCUGUUAUUGGGGAAGAACAAAUGUGUAAGUAACUAUGCACGUCUUGACGGUACCUAAUCAGAAAGCCACGGCUAACUACGUG